GUACCCCCCCACCCCCACCCCAGACUGAUGCUCAGACACCACCUUCAGGCUGAACAGUUAUCAAACAUCCCUUCUCCUUCUGACUUUAGCCUUUGCUAGAAUAAGAGUACAAUGCUUCCCAGGUGGAGAUCCAGGUACCUCUCAUGUGCAGAUCCAGGCUAAACAAGCCUGAGUACUAACAAUGAAGAUAGGCAGAGAAGAAAAUGUUCGUGUUUUCUCCCUCCUGUUUUAAUUUGCCGGUUGCUAAAGGCAAGUUAAACUGUUCAUAUCCCUGUUUUUCCCAACUGGGGACUUUGGUUAAUGUCACUGAGGUGCCCUGAAGAUCAAUCCACUCACUGGAGGCCCAUGGAAACAUAAGGAAAAUACAGGACUGCCAGUAUCUAGAGAAGCAAACCUUGAGUUCUCAUAGGCUCUCCCCUGGGGCCAUAACACAGAGUUGCUCACAUUGUGUUCUACACAAAGUCUCCCAACCAAAGAGGAAAGGUGGGGCUGCCUUCAUCUGUACUCUCACUUGCCAAGCCUGAGUCCUACUAAGAUCUGUCCAUCCAGAUGGAGGGCACUCUCUAAUACACAGACAAGCAUACACACUGGUUGUCUGUAUUUUUCUACCAGAUGUGUAGUCUUUGAGGGAGGAUCAAGACUCACCUUUCCAUCUCUUAGGACAGUGCCUGUCACAGUGAAGUUUCAUAGAAUGAAUGAAUGAACAAUGACAGAAAGAAAUGAAGAGAUACUGAGAGGGUGCACAGGGAACAAUUCCAUUUUAUCCUAAAGGUAAAUCGGCUGAGUGGUAAGUGAGACUUAGGGAUUUAUUCACAUACUGCGGAGAAGGCAAGAUUGCCAAAGCCCUAUUUUGCUAAAAGGACUAUAUCGGGGGCCAAUGAAAAGAAAGAAAACGGACUAAUAGAAUUUAGGUGGACUUGAAACUAACGUAGAAAACAGCUGCCUGAUAUCAACCACAACUUUUCGCAUCUCUUUGGAUCUAUGGGAAGAUGAGGGAGACUUGGGAUUUUAGUUUGGUUGUAAGAGUCCACUGGAAGCAAUUUCUACAGUAGAAAACAUGUAGCAGAUGAGAAGAGUAUUCACAGCAGAACCCUUAAUUUCUUCAUGAAAAAAUGGAUAUGUAGUUUUCUUUCACUUAGAAGACUGUGUAGCAGAAGCAGCAGAAGACAGCUGGUUUCUACUCUCAGUCCCUGUUUCGGAUGCCCCAACACUCUGGCUAUAAGCUGCCAUAUGGUUGCUAGAAAUCAAACCUGGGUCUUCUGGAAGAGUAGACAGUACUCUUAAUUGUUGAGCCAUUUCUCCAGCCCUGCAUCUUUUAUUCUAAUGAGGUACAUCCUGAUGGUCACCUGGAUACUUUGCAAUGGGAGAUGGUCCAGCCAUGACUAGAAGCUUGGAACUUCCAGUAGAACCCCGAUUUCUGAAAAGAAACACAGAAGAGGCCUCCACCUGCUAAUACAGCAUUUCCAUAUUUGUCAUGGAAAUUAGGUGUCUGCUUCUGGUGGUUCUGCCUGGUCAGAAUGCUUACUGAAUGCUUUGAACUUGGAGACGGUUUAGUGUGUUUUUGGCCAAGGGCAACAUCUCGGAGAAGAAGAUAGAACUGUGCUGACUACAGCUGCUGCCUCAGUGCAAAUUCGUC
ensembl:lncRNA